rnacentral:rRNA from 1 species
GACGAACGCUGGCGGCGUGCCUAAUACAUGCAAGUAGGACGCAGUUGCGAACGGGUGAGUAACGCGUAGGUAACUGCCUAUUAGAGGGGGAUAACUAUUGGAAACGAUAGCUAAUACCGCAUACUAGUAGAUGGACCUGCGUUGUAUUAGCUAGUAGGUAGGGUAAUGGCCUACCUAGGCGACGAUACAUAGCCGGGCUGGGAGGGUGAGCGGCCGAACUGGGACUGAGACAAGGCCCAGACUGCGUCGGGAGGCAGCAGUAGGGGAUCUUUGGCAAGGGGGGGAAAGCUGACCGAGCAACGCCGGGUGAGGGGAGAAGGGUUUCGGAGCGGAAAGCUCUUUUGUUAAGGAAGCGGUACUUAACCAGAAAGGGACGGCUAACUACGUGCCAGCAGCCGCGGUAAUUC